CAAUACUAAGUAUAAUAAUAAUACAAGAGGCCAGAGUAAGCUUCAGAGGAAGUUCAGGGUAACGUGUGAGUGCACACAACUACAGUGAGUGAGGUAGGUCAAGUUUGGUCAGUCACCAAAGUAAUCGACUGAGAUCUGGGAGAGAGGCAACACUGCAUCUCAGCUAUCAACUCGGUGCUGGUACCAGCCCGGAUCCGCUGCCCCUCAGUGCCACAGCCACUGUGGAUUGACUGGUUCAAGACGCCGGUCUACUUAACUUUCCAGGUGAUGCUGGGGGUUGGCGCUGGCAGCGACACAGACAACGCUUGACACCUUUUGUCAAGCGUUGUCUGUGUUAAUUAUUGAUAGGAAUGUGAGCAUAGACUGAGUCUGAUUUCUCAUUUUGUUGUAGUUUUGGGGUCAUUGUUAGGAUGUGUAGCCUUCCGGUUAGUCUGUGAUGUGAGCCUAGCACUUUGCUAAAGCUGCCUUGCUUUAUGUGGUGUUAUCACUCAGACCUUGUAAAUCAUGCACUCUGUAAAUAGCUCUAACUCUGUAAAAAGUUGAGACCACUAAAACUUUCUUGAAGCAGUAAGGGUGAAUCGCCAUUUGCUGUUGUUUCCCAUUUUUGUUAGUAUAGGGAGUUAGGUUCAGAAAAUGUCUUUUGUUUACUCUUCUGUUUGAUUAGGGAAUAGUUAGAAAUUGUUUUGGGUGAGAUAGUUAGUUCUGUUUAUUGUUUUGGCCUUGAUUCACCCUGAAGCCUAGCUUCAUUAAUUGAAAAUUAAGUC